rnacentral:rRNA from 1 species
UGAACGCUAGCGACAGGCCUAACACAUGCAAGUCGAGGGGCAGCACAAGGAGCAAUCUGAGGUGGCGACCGGCGCACGGGUGAGUAACACGUAUGCAACCUGCCUGUAAGCGGGGAAUAACCCGUUGAAAGACGGACUAAUACCGCAUAAUACUAAAUUACUGCAUGGUAAUUUAUUUAAACAUUUAUGGCUUACAGAUGGGCAUGCGCAUGAUUAGCUAGUUGGAGAGGUAACGGCUCCCCAAGGCAACGAUCAUUAGGGGUUCUGAGAGGAAGGUCCCCCACACUGGUACUGAGACACGGACCAGACUCCUACGGGAGGCAGCAGUGAGGAAUAUUGGUCAAUGGACGAGAGUCUGAACCAGCCAAGUCGCGUGCAGGAAGAAUGUCCUUAAUGGAUUGUAAACUGCUUUUGCAGGGGAAUAAAGUGCAUCACGUGUGAUGUUUUGUAUGUACUCUGCGAAUAAGGAUCGGCUAACUCCGUGCCAGCAGCCGC